rnacentral:rRNA from 1 species
UACGUAGGGUGCGAGCGUUGUCCGGAAUUAUUGGGCGUAAAGAGCUCGUAGGCGGUGUGUCGCGUCGGCCGUGAAAACCUGCAGCUUAACUGUGGGCGUGCGGUCGAUACGGGCAUCACUGGAGUUCGGCAGGAGAGACUGGAAUUCCUGGUGUAGCGGUGAAAUGCGCAGAUAUCAGGAGGAACACCGGUGGCGAAGGCGGGUCUCUGGGCCGAUACUGACGCUGAGGAGCGAAAGCGUGGGGAGCGAACGGG